rnacentral:lncRNA from 12 species
GCAUUUCAGAAUAUAAUUCUUCACUGCUCCCUACCAGAAGAAUACUGCCUCCAUUUAUUGAUUCAUUAGGUCUGAAAAGACAGCCAAAUGUGCAUAAUCAUUGGUUUCAGUGAAAGUCUAGAGUUUUUUCCUGUUGUUGUCAGUGAGGGAGUUUAGCAAUGUGAGUCUGACUCCAAUCAGAGCUCUCUCACUGCUCAGUCAGUGAGAUGUUGCCACUCUAAACUGGUUGGUAUGCUAGUGUGUUAGAACUAAUGGCCACAUCUGUCAGGAGCAGGGAAGCAGGGCCAGGUUUUACCUGUCAGUUCAAAAACUGAGCACAAGCCAAAUAAACAGCUUUUUUCCAUCUGUCACGUCACCUCUGACUGUGUGCUGUGGGCAAGGUUCAACUAGUGGACAACACCUUUUUACACCCGGGACAGUAGGGGAGAGGUGGUGAUGGAGGGAUGCCAGAUUGCUUUUCCCACAGGUGCCAGGGCAGCAGAAUGCCGAAUGAACAGUGCUCCUGUCUAAUUUUACUUCCCACCUAGGCAGAUAGGAUAUGACAUUCACAUCUAUAGAGUGAAGAUGAAUGCUUGGAGUCAGCAUUUUUGGGAUUUUUUUAUUUAUUUUUUUCACAGGGCUCAAUGAUAAGUGUGAGGCUGGUUCGGGCUUGUUGACAGAACCGCCACUUGCUUAGAUGGGCCAAUGCUGGAUUUACUCUAUGUUGCUGUCAUGCCACCUCUUUGCCCUCUACAAAGGUUUGCUGUUAUUGGGUAAUGAUGUGUAGGGUUAGAGGUGACAGGCGUCAGGCGUCAGGCUAAUUAGUGGAAAACAAGACACCAGAUGCUCUGUAAAUAUCGAAAAUUUAACGAUGGACACACAUUGAGAUGCAGCUCAGCUGAUGUUCACAUUAUUCCACGUAUAUCUUCAAAUUUGAACAUGACCAAAUGGUGGUUAUAUUUCCAAGGCAGAAGAAGAGAGAAUCUCCUUUGUGAGAGAAGCCUCUUGUGUCACUGUAUGCUGAGGACUGUGAUAUCUCAGUAG